rnacentral:tRNA from 1 species
GGAGGGGUGGUCGAGUGGUUAAAGGCACCAGACUGUAAAUCUGGCCGCGUGAGCGUACGCUGGUUCGAAUCCAGCCCCCUCCACCA